rnacentral:tRNA from 1 species
GGAAGCGUUUGCGUGUCUGGUGACCGCCCCGGUCUUCAAAACCGGAGAAACGUCCGAAAGGGUGUUUGGUGGGUUCGAUUCCCAUCCGCUUCCG